rnacentral:lncRNA from 1 species
UGAAAGAAAAGGAUUUGGAAAAACUGGUUUUAGAAAAUGAGAAGUUGAAAGAGGAAAACAAGGUUUUCGGAAAAAGAAGUGCCGACAAGCCCGAAAGCUCUAUUAGAAAUUGUACUUCUUUCAUGCAUCUCAAAAAUGAAGUAGAAAGGCUUAAGGUCACCUUAGAUAAGUUUAAUUCUUCUCACAAAAAUUUGAAUGAGGUCCUUGUUAGUUUGAAGUCAACCAAGCAUGGCAUAGGUUUUAAGAAUGAGCCUAAAGAAAAGGUUGAAGCCAAACCCCAACCUCCUAAGGCUCAACCUAGGAUUAAUAAAACAAAUGCUCAUCCUAGAAAUAACAACCCUAGAACCAAUAUGCUUGCUAGACCAAAUAUUGAACACUUUAGAAGACCUAGAAAUGACUUUCCACCUAGAAAUAACCACUCUAGAAAUGAUGCAUAUU